UACUCUGGUCUGGUCUGGUCUCUCUCCCUCUUAGAAAACCAGACGAAGAAGAAGCACCCAUCGAGAAGAAGCGCCCAUCCUUAGCGAGAGUACCCCGGAGGCCCCGACGCUGACCAUCGCCUGAGAAGAAGCGCCGAUCCUCAGCAAGAGUACCCCCGAGGCCCCGACGCUGACCAUCGCCUGAGAAGAACACCCAUCCUCGCCUGAGAGAAGAACCCAUACUCGCCGACCGCCACCUGAGAAGAAAAACCCAGAUGUGCAUGAGCGGGGUGCCUCUUUCGUCCUCCCCUUUAGCCCAGAAAUCCUUAGAAGGUUUAUGAGAAGAAACGCCCAAAAAAACACUCUGGUUUAUGCCAUAAUUUCAACCAAAUGCCCAGUCUGCUGAAUUGAAUGGGGCAAGAUGAUCUCAUCGAGGUCUACACCAUCAUCGUCUAUACCUACUACUAACAGCAAAUACAUAUUCCAUACAUAAAGGACAGAUGAAAUGAUUUAUGAGAUUUUGUUUGGGGAGCUAACUACUCAGGUAGUGAUGGCAUGAAUUCUGGCUCAAUGAAUAUUAUCAGACGUUUUUAAUCAAAAUUUGGGUUCAUCAUCAGCUCUACCAACUACAACAAGGGACACCAUUUUGUUGGUUCAUGGAUCGUCAUUGGAUAGGGACAUCAUCAGCUCUGAAUUUAAGGAAAGAGCAUUAAAGAAUACUACCAAUCGAUCAAAGAGGAAAUGGGAGUCGAAAAAUGGUUCAGUCUCCACACCACGACAUCACAUUCGACGUGGAAUGGUGUUAACUUCUCCUACCGGUCAAAUUGAGACAUGGCAUCUAAAGCAUUAUGAUGCUGAGAAAGGAUGGACUGUAAUAGAGCUCGAGCCAUUAUAUGUAAAUAAUUUAAAUUUUUAUUUAUUAUAUUUCUUAUUAAUAAUUAAUUAAAUAUAUUAUUAGGAUAAAAUGAUGGAGUUAAGGGGUCAACAUCCUCCAGAAGAACUGUCUGAUAAAGAGAUUAUGGAGCGUGUGCUUGGACGUGAUUCGGUAUACUUGCGAGGGUGGGGGCGGUCUCCUAGUGUCACAACUUCUACUUCACAUCGUGAAAAUAUUGUGGGUAAUCAACCAACUUAUGAAGAGUUAGUUGAAUGACUUAAUGAUACAACUUCCCGCCUGAAUGCUACUAACGAACAACUUAGUGUGGUUGUAGAUAUACUUUGUCAUAACAAUUUGAUGGAACCGCCUCCACCACCUCCAACAGACCAGGCUUCAGAUGCAAAUUUAAGAGAGUCACCAUCUUUUUCAGUUCGGGAGUCACAAGAGGAUUCUUAGUUUAUUUACAUUAAUUUACUAAGGAAUGAACUUUAUGAAGUUUUUUUUUAUUUUGGUAGGGGUAACCUUAAAAUGAUAACUUUAUGACUUAUUUUAGUAUUGAACAUUAUAAAGAAUUUUAGCAUUAAACAUUUUAUUA